rnacentral:lncRNA from 1 species
CCUGAAGUAAAGUUUGAGAGCUUGAUCAGACAAUCGACUUGCUCUCCUUCUUUGUGCCUCCUGUCCCCCAUUCUUUCAUCCUUUCCCAGAUCUUUGCUGAACCCCUGUAGGUCGGGGCAUCUGGCGCCCAGACGUGAGGCUCGCCCAUGGAUGUCCCCCUCACAUAGGAUCGCCGCUUCCCGAAGGACACAAGAGAAGAUCCACAUUGCAAUCGCCACAGUCACCCACUGUGAGUCCGAUGUAAGGUUAAGAAAAAUGGAUCAUUCCCUGUCAAGAUU